rnacentral:rRNA from 1 species
UACGUAGGGACCGAGCGUUGUCCGGAAUCAUUGGGCGUAAAGAGCUCGUAGGCGGCUUGUCACGUCGACUGUGAAAACCCGGGGCUCAACUCCGGGCCUGCAGUCGAUACGGGCUGGCUUGAGUGCGGUAGGGGGAGACUGGAAUUCCUGGUGUAGCGGUGAAAAUGCGCAGAUAUCAGGAGGAACACCGGUGGCGAAGGCGGGUCUCUGGGCCGUAACUGACGCUGAGGAGCGAAAGCGUGGGGAGCGAACAGG